UGACUGGACAUUAAUCAAGAGAAGAUCAAACUAGAGCCUGCAGGACUUUGUGGAGUGUGGUGUCAAGAAAGCAGAGCAUAUCCUUAUUAUGGACAGACCUCUCUCCAUCUCUUUAUUACAGACAGACCUCUCCCCAUCUCUAUAUUACAGACAGACCUCUCCCCAUCUCUUUAUUACAGACAGACCUCUCCCCAUCUCUUUAUUACAGACAGACCUCCCCCCAUCUCUAUUUUACAGACAGACCUCUCCCCAUCUCUAUAUUACAGACAGACCUCUCCCCAUGGUUACAACCAUUGAAUCUAUAUGUUUUGACCAUGACAGUUUACAAUCUAAGGCAACGCCAAGUAAUUUAGUCUCCUCGACUUGUACAACAGCAACAACAUGCAUUACCAGGUCUAGAACUUGAUUUGUACCAAAUACAAUGCUCUUAGUUUUAGAGCGGUUCAGGACCAGCUUAUUACUGGCCACCCAUUCCAAAACAAACUGCAACUCUUGGUUAAGGGUCUGUGUGACUUCAUUAGCGGUGGUUUCUGAUGAGUAUGUGGUUGAAUCAUCAGCAUACAUGGACACACAUGCUUUGUUUAACUUCUUGAAUCUAGGGGACACUAUUUUCAUCUUUGGAAAAAUAACGUUCCCUAAGUAAACGGGAUAUUUUGUCAGGACAAGAUGCUAGAAUAUGCAUAUAAUUG
rnacentral:lncRNA from 13 species